CUUUUUCUACUGCUUUUUCUAUAGAGGCUGGAAUCAGGAAGCCUAGGUAGGGGGAGGGAUUAUAGAAAACAUGCGGAAAGUGGCUGCAAGAAUGAUACAGAAAUGAAAGAAAACAGGCAACAGCAUGUCCUCAAAAAAGAAGGCGAAGCAGUAUUGUGUGUUCAUAAAAGAUUUCAAGGAUGGAAGGCAGUAUUUCCUGACUGGAAUGGUAGGAAUCUGUGAGAGAGAACCAAAUCGUAAAGUGAAAGUUUCUGUUCUCGAUGAACAGAUGCAUUGCACGACUGUGAUUACCAACCUGAAGCUGCUGAGUAAAGAAGAAGCCGGGUUUUUACUCAGUCUUAAACUGCCGGACAGGAGUAGGUGGCUCUGUAAUGACGAGCUGCUGAAGUCUGUAUGCAGCCUGCAGAGGAACGACGUUGUUCAGUUAAGCACUAAUAAAGUCGGCAUUGUCAAGGACAUAUUGUCAUUGUCCUUGUAUUCUGAGCUAAAAAAAACACACAUUGUAGUAGAGCUGCUGGACGGGAUUGGAGGGAAAACUCAGACGGUGCACCCCAGUGAAAUUGUGUGCGUUUCUUCUUCUUCUUCUGCAACAGCCAGCCUACAUGCAGAAGAAAGAAAACUCAGCUCAGAAGAUGAAGAAGCACAGCAGAAACUGAAUGGCAGAAGUAACCUUGCCAGUCAGAGGUCUGGUUUAUCUUCUUCGGAAACGAAUGUUGCUGAUUACCCUGCAUGUAGUUCUUUGUCCAGUGCAGAACACCAUAAGGAUCCUUCCGAAGUACAACAUCCCAGUAACACAGCAAUGAACCUAAACAUUCCCGACCUAGAGAUUGGUUCCAUGGUUGAAGUUAAAGCCAAAAAUAAUGCCACAGUUUAUGGAGUGCUUCGGUGGAUCGGUAAACUUUCAGCUUAUGAGGAAGACUAUGCAGGUAUUGAGCUGGAUUACGAGAUGAAAGAAUGCACAGAUGGAACAUUCAAAGGUCAAAGGUUCUUUAGGUGUGCCAGUAACAGGGGUAUGUUUAUCAAGCUGGCUGAAUGCAAGCCUGAUGGGAGGUUCCUUUCAAGUUUACCACAGGAUGGCUUUAAAUCUUCUAGCUGCCCAAAGGGAACACCAGUGGAUGGGAAGCCUAUAGGAGAGAACACAACUACAUUCUUGCUCCGUACUUUAUCCUCAGGCAAAGUUGUCGAAGAUGAAGACCUCAUGGAAGAUGUUCCUCCAGUUACAGAGUCUGAGGCCCUGCUGAAGAUGGAAGGCCGAAUGAAGGGGAUCCAAGGACAUUACAACUCCUGCUACCUUGAUUCAGCACUCUUCAGUUUAUUUAGCUUUUCUCCAGUACUGGACAGCAUUCUACACUUACCUUUGAAACAAGAAGAAAAAGUGCAAGAAAUCUUGAGAAGAGAGAUUGUGAACCCUUUAAGGAAAACUGGAUUUGUCAGUGCUGAAAGUGUUAUGAAAUUAAGGAAAUCCCUGAGAUGUGAAAGUUUCACCUUUGAAGAAAAAGAUCCUGAAGAAUUUCUUACUCUACUCCUCCAUCAAGUCCUCGCAGUAGAUCCUUUAAUAAAGAUCAGGUCUUGCGAUAAAAUCCAAGAGUGCUACAGUUAUCAAAUUAUAAUGGAGCAGGACAAUGCACUGAAAGUACCCAGUGUACAGCAGCUGUUGGAGAGAUCCUUCCUGACUUGUAACCUGAAGUUUGAAGAGAUCCCAUCAUGCUUAAUUAUUCAAAUGCCAAGAUUUGGGAAAGCGUAUAAAAUGUUCCCUAAAAUUGUACCCUCCUUGGAACUUGAUGUUACAGACCUGCUCUAUAAUACCCCCAGGGAGUGCUUCAUUUGUGGUCGACUCGCUGAAGUUGAAUGUUAUCAGUGUGUCAUGGAUCCAUAUCUCAUGCCAGGAAAAAACAAGCAGUUUUGCUGUCUUUGUAAUAAACAGGUACAUAUCCAUAGGAAGAGGCAAGAUCAUGUGACACAGAAGCUUGACUUCCCUGUAGAUGUCUCUGCCACAGCUUUAUUUCCAAGAUACAAACUGGAGUUGUUUGCAGUGUUGUGCAUUCAGACCAGUCACUAUGUGUCAUUUGUGAAGUAUGGGCCUAGCAAAACGUCUUGGCUUUUCUUUGACAGCAUGGCUGACAGGCAAGGAGGUGUGAAAGGCAGAAACAUCCCUGAAAUUAAAGCUUGUCCACAAGUUGGAGAAUACCUCACUAUGUCUGAAGAGGAGUUGGCCAGCGUUGAUCUAAAGCAGAUGGAUGAGUUUGCAAAACGAUUUUUCUGUGAUAUGUAUAUGUGCAUGUACCAAUGCCCAGCUCUCUAUCUGUACAGAUAGCACUAAAUCUCCACUGAUACGCAUGUUUGGCAUGCAAAUUUGCACUGCAUCUGCUGUGAACUAAAACAUGAAGGACAACUGAUUUACAAGACUGAGAGUCCCCAGGGAAGGUGAUUUACUGAUGUUAUGAUGAUAAAAUACAGUCUGUUUACACAGGAUAAACUCAUAUUACCGUCUUACAUUACAAAGUAUCUGUACUUGUUUCCAGGCAUUCUCUACCACUCUGCAGUGUGAGAAGACAUCAGGGGUUGGGCAUAUACUGACUUUUGCUGCCAUUCUGAGGACGGAAGCUAAUUUGCUCAGACUGAUAACGUACAAAGCUGAAACAUAUUUAAUGUUUUACUGCUUACUGUCAAUGAUAUGUUUUGACAUUAACAUAUGAGCAGUUUCAUAGUUCUGUUUAACUUACGGUUUAUUCUGAAAUGUACCUUCUUGAUCCUCCACUUUAUACUACUGACAGGGUUGCAUUACUGUGCCAGUAAAGACAUAGAGGUUCAAUGUCAUCUGUUGUGGCUAAAAUGGUUCCACUUUACUAUCCCUCUUCUUAACAAAUAGAAAACAAAAUGCCAACACAAAUGAAUUUACUGUUUAAGUAGGGUGUGUGACACGGAGGCCAACAAGCAGCUAGGCUGCAAAGUGGAAUUUAUUUUGCCACCAGAACUGUGUGUGUUAAAAUUAUCAUCACCUAAUCAGUACAUAUUAGGACAUGUACUAGCACUUGCCUAUCUGUUCGAGAUCAUUUAGUAGGCUAUACUUUGCUUUCCCUACCAGGAACCGAUAGAGAGAAAGGGAUGGGGGAGUGCCAAGUGAAACAUCAGCUGUGGCUGAAUUUUUACUUGAGUCUGAAAUGGACAGUUAAUAAGGCAUAUAAAAUAAUGUGUAGGAGCAAAUUACAAUGAAAUAAAUAGAAUUUGUGCACUCAACAUAGGCAGAAAACUCUUCAGGAUAGAGGAGGAGUGAAUUUUAAGGAAAGGCAUGACUUGAGCAAUUUAUAAAAUGGAGUGAACAAUAAUUGUUACAAAAGAAAAUCUGUAUAAUGCAUGAAAAAAAAAGUUCACAAUUGUAUGUUUUCUGUUCUAUUAAAGUAUGUGUAUUCAUGUUAUUCAAAAUGUGCAAAUAUAACAAAGGUGUUUAAAAAUAUUGCAUCCUUUACCAAGUUUUGUGGCGGGAAUAGAAAAAGGUGAAUAUUUUAGAUGGUGGAUUAAUGUUCCAAACUGGAUCCUAGAAUGCAUAUUUAUUGUCUAAACCUAUAGAUGAUCCUCUUAAGCUACAGUAUUAAAAAAUAUACUGGCACAAGGAGCACGUCCCAGUCAAAAAUGCUAAACACUUACACCGUGUUUGCAUUUCAUGCUGUAAUAACUAUUGGCAAAACAGUCAGUGGUACUUAGCAGUAAUUUACUCACAUAUGUGAAUUUCCAGGUUAGUAUAAACUGCUGCCUGAAAUACAGAGGCAUGAGCAGCAAAGAACUGACAACUUUACAUUACAAGUCAUGACUUGGGGAAGGUUUAAUCCAUCCAUAUAUCCACAACCAUUUUUCCCAUUUCUGCACAGGGGGUUGGGGUGUCACUUCAGUACUGACAAUUAUCUAGAUCCAAGGUUUACACCGCCAGGUGGCUAGCCCUGCCACAGUAGUUCUUCCACAGCACUUCUGCACACACACUCACAUCUGUGGCCAAUUUAGUACUAAACAGUAUGACUACAAAUGCCAAUUUAGUGUUUUCAAUCCACCUACUGCGUGUCUUUGGAAUGUGGAAGGAAAGUGGAGCACCUGGGGGAAACUCACAAACACAGGGAGGACAUACAGACUCUGCACCGAUGGCACCCCAGUUGAAACUCGAACCGGGGAACCUCAUGAUUUGAAGCGGCAAUGCUAAUUUUUAGUAUUCUUUGAUAAGCUACAUUUUCAAUGUACCGGUUUAUGAAAAAUAAAGACUUAAGUGAAAUGCAUAUUACUACUUACAAACAUUUAUAACUUUGUUCUUGUGAAUCACUUUCUAAUACAGUCAAUGAGCACUCCACUGUUUUUUUUUCUAGGUGUUUUUUUCCCCUGUGCCUGUCAAUCAAGCAGCCUUUGAUGGGACAUAACUCACCAAUUCCCUAACAUGGGAAUUUCAUUCAAGGAUUGGGGUGAGAGCUGUCUGGAAUGGGACAUUUUCUGCUAGGCAUGAGGGUACUUUAUGCCCUUAGCAGAUCUUGGCAAUGAGAACAUUUAUAAUGGUUUAACCCUGCUCAUCAGCAGUAGGGUAUGUAAUAGCAGUCACUACGAAUGCCUAAUAUGCAUUUCCCAAGUAAAUGGAAACUUCUGUACACCUGUGUUGAAUGUUACCACCAGGCAGUGGCUUUGAGGCCCAAUGCCCACUCCAGGACCCUGCUUUUGCACUGCCACCCUUCCACAGAGUAACUGUGGGGCAGUGUGUAGCCAGCUCUGACCCACCUACAAUAGGAAUGGGUAUACCCAAUCUACAGCCACCUCUGUCCAUGUGCCCAAGCCACUAAUCUAACUUGUCUGCCCAGCCACAGUCGGAGCUUUACUCUCUACGUCACUGGAGCUGGCUCUCUGCACCUACUUCACUUACACUGUGACUGAUGAAAGCAGACAAGUGACUAACAAUGCUCCACAACUAAUGCAAAUCUGCAGUACCCAACUGCAAUAUGCAGUAAAAGUAGCAAAGUGUCACCAUUUAGUUGACAAGGCAGAAUUAUGGGGGAUCUUAACUGUUUAGGACCUUCCAUGGAACGACACUACUUUGCAUGUCUGUCUCUAACUUCUCAUGUUGCUUUGGUCUGUAUUUAUGUUCUCACAUCACCCUGAGUAUGUAAGAAGUUAAUGAAGUACUACCAUUAACAGUCGGCUAUCUGCUACAAGACACCACUGAAAAAAUUGGUAACACAGUUAAUGGGCCUUGUGCCUCUUAACACCAAGUUCAGUGGUAGUUACUUCUCAGAAACAUGAAAAAAAAAAAAAAAAAGAAAAGCAUUGAAUGUUUCAGUAAAGUUUAAGUCAAAAACUAGGAAAAUGAAACCGUGGAUUUCAUAUUCUAACUUUUCAACAUUUAACACUCUGAUUAUAACUUUGCAGUCCUGCCCCUGUAACAUACAAAUGUUCUUGAAAUAUCCCCUAAACCCACAAAACUGAUAUCUACACAACAUUUUAACAAUAUUAAACUGCAAGGGUGGCGAAAGUCCGGUAUAGCCUAACCAGAAAUCUGUACUAUAUAUAUUCUCCUUUUAAAGUACUUCAUAUAUCCUCCCACAUUCCCUUCCCCCUCUGCAAGAUCUGAAUCUUUAUAAAUUUCACAACAUCAUACACUUAAUUAUACUUUAUAUUUUGGGAUACUCUCUUAAAUAUGCCACCUUCUUAACAAGUUUACUUUUUUCUCGAUAUCUGGUGUUUUUUUCAUACCAAUUUAAUCUGCAGCUUUACUUGGAAACAGGUUCUGGUUCACAACACAGCUGCCAUCUAUACCAUGAAAUACAGCUCAUAAAAACAAUAAACAAUUCAGAUGUCUUCAUUUACAAAUGGAAAAAAAAAGGUUUCUUGGGUGGUAUUACACAGCCCAGAAUGAACAGUAAAAAAGAUAAUCUAGUCAGAGAAAACUUCAAGUAACAAUAUUCGGAUGAUUUUAGUUUUGAAUAGCUAAAAAAUGGCAAAUAUUCUGAAAUUUUUCUUCCUUGAAUAAAAAAGAUUCAUAUUUUAAAGAUGAAAGUGAACAUUUAAUGACUGUUCAUGGUAAAAAUGUACAAGUAUACCUCUGAUAACCUGUUUUGGCUUAAAUCUCCAAAACAUUCAAAAAUGCAAACAAUGUAUUUUAAAUGUGCCAGGAAUUGAUGCAGCUAACAGGCAUUCAAUUUUAUUGAUGCUACAGGCCUAAUUGUGAAGCAUUGCUGCAUUUCAG